ensembl:lncRNA
ACUCUUUAGUUUCUGGGUCACUGGGUAGAGAGAAGACUGCAGUCAGACACUGGGAUCUGUUGUGGUAGUGUGUGAUGUGAGGUGCUGGUGAUGGUGCAGGCUAACUUGGAUGUGGAGCUACAAGGAGUAUUGGUUAAGCUGUGUGUUUUAUGAGUCCCAUAGGGAGUUGAUUAGGUGAACUGAACUGCAGAUGUUUACCUAGGUACUGUCUGUCUGUGUAACAGUGUAACUGUUCUCCAGUCUUGUGAUGCCUGUGGCCAUGAAGACCGCCGGGAGAUCCAGGUCUGAUUCAGCCAACAAGGAAGGACAAGGCCGAGUUUGUACCCGGACUCAUCAUCAACAAUGGGCAUCAAGGGGCCCGAGGAGCCAAUCAGCAUGUUGUAGCUCUCCCUGGGGCUGGGCUGGGCUGGGUGUUGGAGCGAUAGGACAGAGGCCAACGCAGUCCAAGGAGAGCGUGUUGAACUACCAGGAAGCCCUGAGACAACAGAGGAACAGGAAACCAAUGACUCAGAUUAGUGACAGACUGCAAUAUUUUGACGGGAAGAGAUCAGGCGAGAGCGAAGUCAGCACUUUUCCAAGAUCCAGGAAAGAAAGGAGCGAUAAAGACAGGAGAGGAGGAAGAGGGAUUGCUACGAUGCCAAGAUCGAGGCAGAAAUGAAGGUGAUCUGAACAGAAUGCACAGGACCAAGGAGGAGGAGUACGUGAACCCAGAGUCCAGGGACAGGUGACAGCCACAGGGCUCUGUAGGCAGGAGUGGAGGACCUAACCCCAGGCAGGAGGACUGGGUACCCUCUACCCAGCGAGUAACAGCUGUCCCAGUUUGCCGGAGGCAACGUGUUCAGUGAUCAGGACACUCCACAGCAGCUCCAGGAGCAGGACACGUUCAAGCAGAGAGCCAGAAGGAUCCUUCCCCUCCUAACCCAGACAUGCAGAAGAGACUGGGCAAGCAGCUCCUUACUCCCAGACCUCUCUCUGCUGUCAGCCAGCUCUCCUCUAGGCCCAGGCACUUGACUGUGUCGAACAUCCACAGGCCCAGGCGCUAUAGCUUUAUUCUGACUCCGCUUUCAUCCCUGGAACUAUACACUCACUGUCGGUGUACGGUUGUGAACUUAACAUGCAUAUUUUAUAGUGGUGACUGUGGCGUGUUUUGAGGUGUUGGAUCAUGUUCCAUACUGUUGUGCUGUGCCCAGGUGUAGAGGGCACCCCAAUGGGGACAUGUUUGAGAUGGCACACCACCCAACUCUGGAGUAGCUGCUGUGGCUGUUCACGUCAACAUGCAGAACACCAGGGAGUUCAACCAGCUCAAAUACAGAGGUAUGACAAUGACAGUCUUUAUGCUAUUAAAAACAAUAAACUGUUUUAAGUGAGAAGUAGGCAUCAGCCUGAAGGAAAUUCACAUGAGCAUCACCAUGCCUACUACACCAAUGCUCGACCAAGGUUUUACAGCACACAGCUUUGAAGUCCAGACCCUGGACAUUAAUAACUGGACAUGAAUCUUCUCCCUCCAUUCUUCUCAUUCUCGCCCUCGCCCAGAUCAAAUAUAGAGAUGAAUUGACACCACCAUCCCAUGCAUUUAAAGACCUAUACCCAAUUUAUGAGUCCCUCUUUUCAUUGGCAAUGUCAUAUUUUUCUAGAAGAAUAACUAUGAUCCAUUCCUGUUCAGUUUGGCCGGAUGUGCAGCCCUCAUCAAGCCCCUCUGUCUCCUCUCCUCUUUGCCAUGGCAUUACUCUGAUGAGGUCAUGGGGCGACUCAUCAUUAAAGCCAUCCAUCAGUAACGGACAGUUUGGCAACGUAAACACAGGGCUGAAACUAAGGAAAUUGACUUUGAAUGGAUUCCUAGUACUGAGUUUAUGUUUGGGUCCAGAGAACACUUCCGACACGCAAACAUACAAAAACGGGGUUAGAAAAGUGGGAGAUAUAGAAGGCGUGUGUACACUGCAGGGUGAAGACAACACUGUAUGCCUGUGUGUUGAGUACACUACAGUGAGCGGACACACAUUGCUUUUGCCUGUGAGCAGAUCGUCUCUUGCUUCCAUUACUAUAGCUCACCAGAGGCCUACCUCUUCCUGUCCCUUGCGGAGGAAGAAGUCUUGUCCUCUCUGCUUGUCUAUGUUCCUCCUAGUCCAUCUGUAGCUCAGUGUUUAGACUGCAGAGUAGCUGAGUCACCAUGGCCUUGGCUCAGUCAGUAUUGACUGAUAGAGGAGGGGAGGGGUUGACAAUAGGAUUAGGUCUAGAUGCUCUUCACCCCCAUAUAAGGUCAGUGUCGAUUAUCAAUUUAAUCUUGGCCACAGCUGAACUAGUCCUGUAAGUGCACAUCACUCCCCCCUGGCUUAGCCUCUCAUCAUAAUGAGCGCUGGCCAGAGAGUCCCUCUGAUUGGCUGGUGUGGGAGGAAAUCCACUAUGAUAGGCUAAUCUGGGCCCAUCUGUACCUCUCUGGCAACAUUAGAGCUGUAUCAGUACACAUGACUACCGCAGCACUCACUGCCUGACAUCUGUGUCAUGGUGAGGAUGUGGUAAUCCUCGAUGCAGGGACUGAGUUGUGUGUGUAACAGACAGCACAUCACAUCAGGAGGUGCAUCACGUGUGCCCCCCCCCACCCCACCAGUGACAAACACAGUCUGGACAUCCAGCAGGCUCUGCUCAGGGAGCAACAACGCAAGAUCAGGAUCAUGAGGAGUCAGGUCAGACACACACUGUCUAACUCAUCUAACUUGAUUUUUAUAGGUGUCUGACGGUCUGUGUUGAUCCUCUCAGAGUGAGAAAACAAUCUGAGACCACCAAAGAGUCUCUUUAUUGGAGUCAGAGAGUGCUGUUAUUGGUGAGCCUGCUGGUCAAACAGCCUCAACACGACUUGAGUCAGUGACAGAAAAAUUGUCCCCCUGAGGAUAUGCUUACUGGAAGGAAUGAAUAGUAAUACAUUAUUACACUGAGGUGGAUAUGGGACACACACACACACACACUGCAGCCAACUGAGGGGAGGGAGGGUCAUUGGGCACCCUCUGGGUGCCUGCCAGUGCCAACACGACAUAGGCCAAGCCAUGGCGCCCACACAGCUGGUAGUAGUCCUGACAGAGCAGAAAGCCUGUGCCAGCUGCAGGGUGGUAGUAGCAUGGCCUUGGUCCGGCUGAAGGGGGAGGGAGGAGAGCAGGCAGGGAAUGUGUAUCUGAGAGUCUACCGCACAAUGCAGAAAACACUUUUUUUUUUUUAAAUGAUAUUACUGUAGAAUAACAUGAGAAGAUUGGAUAAAAUAUAAACAUAAUAUACCUCCAAUAUUGCUAUGCCUUAGUAUUUUAGUACGGCGUAGCAUUUUUAUUAGUUAAGGUUAGGAGAAAGAGACAUCAUCCCACCUUGCCUGUUAGGUGAUGUAUUGUAAAUGUGUUACAGUGUUACGUCCUCAGACGUAUGCAGGGUCCCCGUCCCAAGGGCCAGGGCAGCCCAGGUUGACCUGAGGUCCAGACAGCCCUCAGCCCGGGAGAGGAGAAGGCCUGCCAGAAGGAGAGACUUUGAGGAUGAGAAGGGCCUGUUGCUUCAGUUGAGUCAUCAUCACAUAAUUACAGUGCCACUUCAACAGUCCAUUAAUGUCCUCAAUCUGAGAAGGGCCAUGGGGAAACGUGUCUGAUAAUACACAACAGUCCCUCUUUUUUUAGGCAUUAGAAUGUCUUACAGGAU